UACAGGGGGGGCAAGCGUUGUUCGGAAUUACUGGGCGUAAAGGGCUCGUAGGCGGCCAACUAAGUCCGACGUGAAAUCCCAAAGCUUAACUUUGGAACUGCGUCGGAUACUGGAUGGCUUGAAUUCGGGAGAGGGAUGCAGAACUCCAGGUGUAGCGGUGAAAUGCGUAGAUAUCAAGAGGAACACCAGUGGCGAAGGCGAGUCCCUGGACGAUACCUGACACUGAGGCACGAAAGCUAGGGGAGCAAACAGG
rnacentral:rRNA from 1 species